rnacentral:rRNA from 1 species
UACGGGGGGGGCAAGCGUUGUUCGGAAUUACUGGGCGUAAAGGGCUCGUAGGUGGCCAACUAAGUCAGACGUGAAAUCCCUCGGCUUAACCGGGGAACUGCGUCUGAUACUGGAUGGCUUGAGUUUGGGAGAGGGAUGCGGAAUUCCAGGUGUAGCGGUGAAAUGCGUAGAUAUCUGGAGGAACACCGGUGGCGAAGGCGGCAUCCUGGACCAAUACUGACACUGAGGAGCGAAAGCCAGGGGAGCAAACGGG